CGACUUCGGCAAUCAUACAAAAAGGAAGAUACUAAAAAACAAAGUAAGCAAAUUCGUCUUUGCACAAAGGUUCCACCUUCAGGCAGUAAAAGAAACUUUUAUGGAGGNNNNNNNNGACCUGGAUACAAUCUUUCCAAUGUGAAGAGCAACUUGAUGAAGAAAUCAAAAAUAGAAUUUCUUAAGAGCCGAGAAGUGAAAAAUAUUGCAGCCAGAAAAUUUCGGUGCGAAGAAAUAAUAGUGCCUCCACUGUGACAAAGACUGGGGGCUUUCCUGGAAAUAAUUCCGC
rnacentral:misc_RNA from 1 species